AGCUUAUGAAAAGAUGAUUAAAUGUGUUAGACUUUAUUUAAGGAAAAAAAAAAAAGCCUAAAUGCACAAAGCUGUUUGCAAGGGGGAGGGCGGAAGCCCCGGGAAAGCUGCUCAGUGUGCAGCCACGGUGCAUUAAGCUUCCUGUGAACCCCAGUGAUGAGCAGCAGCGAGCGCGCGGACACCGGCCCCGCGCGCGUCGUGGCAGCCCGGGGCAGUGGAGGGGCCAGAACAGGCCCCUCAUUGUGCCCUGCCUGCUGCACCAGGGGAACCUGAGAGUCACACCGAGGAUGAAAGAGGAUGGGGGGCUGUGGGUUAUCCACAUUGCAGUUGAUCCCAAUGGAAGUUAUUUUCGGAGCUCAGCCGUAGCCAGCCCAGUGGAGCUGCAGAGGAGCUGCCCGCUGUUGUGGGAAAGGAGAACUGCACAGCCUGGUACUGGGACAGAGCUGACUGGACUGUCACGCUGCAGAAAGCCUUGUCUGCCCUUCCCCACACGGCUGCCAGCCUCCCGGCCCUGCUGGAUGCGGGAUGCACGCCACAGAGGCAGGGCAGCAGCGGCGAGGAUCGGCGUGUCACCGCCGCGUGAGCGGGCAGCCAGCGUGCCACUGCACGCAUCACACAUCCACACAGCUCCCAGCGAGGCCACUGCACCCUGUGCACCAAACCCUGCCUGCUCCCGAGCCCUGCUCCGAGGCACAGCUUCGGUCACAGGCAGGCAUGGUGGAAUCGGUGCCACCCAGGGAAGGAGGGGAUCAGUGUCCCUUGGGACUGCUGAGAGGUGGCUUGAGACGCGCAGAACACAGCGGCCAGGAGAUACAGCUCGUGGGUUUCCAGGAGCUUUGUCCCUCCAUCCUCCCCCUCGCCUGUGCUGGGUUAUGGAUGCUGCAGCCCUAAGACAAUGAGGCUAAUUAGUGGCUUAGGGCCCUGAGCCUGCCAGGGCGGGAGGAUGAGCUGAGCGGUGACUCAGGAGGGCGGCAGCCCGGGCCAGCCUUCCCACAUUCCUCCCCUAAAUCCCCCACACAAAAGGGAAUUUAGCCACAGUGACUCAGCGAAGGAGCACAAACUUUACAGCCGGCCUUCGAGUGCCUGUUUGUGUAUUCCCCCCCAGCAACGCGCUGCUGGGCUUGUAAUUAAAUAAAAUGUCUCCCUCUAGCAGGCUGUGACCCAACCAUCAGCACAGCGCCUAUUUUUAGUGUUACCCUCGGUACGUAUUCCAGAGAGCUCCAGCCACAGGUAGCAACUUAUGAAGCCCUAAUAAGUGGGAGGGGGGGUGGCCUUGUUUAAUUUACUGUGUAAUUAUUUUUUCUCUUUUUCUCUUCUCUUAACCUGCCAUACUUGAUGUCUUGCACGGGACAAGGAAAGAAAUGUGCCGAGGCAUUAAAUGUCAGCCCCGACUUCAUGGUGCUGUGGAGGCUACGUGUGUGUUCAGUAAAGUUCAUCCCAGAAAAAAGUCCUUUAAAUAGAGCAGAAUCUACACCAGCACCUCAGCAAAACACUUCUGGGGGGUUUCUGCCUCUCAAAACAGGGGACACUGUUUGUGUGCCAGUUUCAUCCUGUGACAGAUACUGAUUGUGUGCCAGUUUCAUCCUGCUUUUCCCCCUCCUUUGGGUUUGAUUCUCAGGAAGGACACAGCACUGGGGAAGGAGAUGUUCUCAGUCUGUCCAGACACCAUUCAUGCUGGUUCGUCCCCUCAGGAGUGGGGUACAGGGCUGCACCUCCACCCAGGGCUGUUCCUUCUCCAGUAGGAUCACAUCCAGGUUUAGACACUACGAAGAAUUCCAGGUGAGUUAAAUACUCAUUGCAUGCUCUUCUGAGCACAGGAUCAACAAUUGAAACUCCUUUCCUUUAACAGGAUGGUUUCCAAGAGCCCUUGAAUGGCCAAAAAGUCAUCCAGGACCACAAGCAGCACCCUCCGUCUCGCUGGAAGCAGCCAGGUUCUGUGCCCUCAUGAUGCUCAAGUCCUUUGACUGGAGGGAGCAAGCCACAUCCUGAGUCCCAGUGACUCAGGGAGCACCUCCAGCCCUCGUUCCAUCUUUCCUCUCUAGCAGCACUCCACGUCCCAUUUCCAGCUGCACAACUCUCUGCUCUCCCUUUCCAGGGGAGAGGAUAUUUAUAUGUAUUUAUGUGCUCUGUGUGUGCACAGUGAACACGUUACUGCUUCUGACAGGACAAACAAAAGCCCACACUCAUGGAAGACUUCCCCCCCUCCUUUCCCUGCUCUUAACAUAUCUCUGCAUUAAAUAUUCACACAAAAUGCCUUCACAGCUGGGGAAACUUCUGCCAAAGGAGCUCCUCCUCCUCCUCCCCUUUCUUGCACCAGGACAAAAAGAUCGAGUGGCUGCAUCACACAUGGCACAGACCUCAUUUCUGAGAUGCUCGAGCUGCAUAAUGAUGGUAUUUUAGGCUCAGAUUAAAUUCCUGUUCAUCUCUUCCAUCAUUCCUAACAGCCCUCUAAACUGUACAACUCCUGAAUGUACAAGAGAGGCAGAACGAAGUCUGAGGCUAAAUGUUUUGGUCUAGGUUCAAGGUUAGAUAUUAACUGAUUUUAUUUUCUUAAUAAUUGCCAGAAGAUACAAUAAAGCCCUGGUAUCUUAUCUGGUCAUAGAUUCCUCGGUGACCGAAUCAGAUAACAUUGGUGCAGCAAGGCAGCUCACAAUCUGCCCUUUCAGGGGGGAUAUUGAUGAAUCCUCCGCAGAGGUCAUGAGGAACUGGUGCGCUCCAGCCUGGCCACAGCACCCGCAGCCAUGGCCAGCAGUGCCACGGGCAGGUUUCACAUUCCUGGGCGGUGGGGCCGGGCUGGCAGCAGAGGCUCCGGUGCCCUUGGACCCUGCAGCGUUCAUGCUGGAGGGAGCUUGGCAGGGCCCCCCUUCGGCCAGGGCACAUUCCUAGCUGGAACAGCUCGAUCAGCCUCCCAGGAAUGAAAGUAAACACUCCUGCUAAGUCAUUCCUGGAUAAGACCUAUCUGCCCAGGGCCAGAGGCUCCACGUGUCCCUGCCAGCGGCCAGGGAUGCAGCGGGGGGAGGCAGCAGAGUGUGUGACACGGCUGUCACCGGGGCUGCAGCUGCUGCCACCACCCCCAGCUCCUCCCCAGCUGAAAGGAGGACAUGGAACAGUGAGAACUCAAAGGUACUGAUGGCAGAGGAGCUGCAGAUUCUGGAGGGAGGCACUGAGGCCAGCAGAAGGGGAUGGGUGUCACAGCCACUGUGGCAGGACCCGGCUUCAUCUGUGGCCACCCAAUGGAGCAUUCCUGUUCUCAGGACCAGGCUCUGACUGUGUUACAGCGCUGUGUGCCAUCCAGUGGGAUAAGGAACAAAGCAGAGGGGCUCCCAAAGAAAUGGCUGCAAGCCCAGGGGGACGCAGGGCUGCGUGAGCUGGCAGGAGAAUGCACUCACAGAACAGGAAUGGAGAAGUACCUUUUCCUUGCUGGCCACACAGAACCCAAGAGGAGACAGUCGGAGUCCCUGUGACCUGAAAUGCUGUCCCUGGCUCUUGUAAUCCUAAUCCUGCUGAAAAUAGGAACCGAGUGUGGCGUACCCAGCGCAGCGCUCACAGCCUGGGCUCUAACAGGUCCUGAUCUCCUCCCAGGAGCACUAAACUAACUGCAGCUAGGGUUUUCCCCUUUUCAGGGUCAGAAUGCCUAACUUGAUGCUGUCACUGGGGUCCCAACGAGCUGUUUCUGCUGGAAGCUCCCCACACACAGAGCCACGCACACACUCUCUCUCUGCAGAGCAGCGAUCAAUGCACGCCGGGUGCCUCGGUGCAGUGCCCAGUGCUGAAGUUUGGGCAGGAGCAAGGCAUGGUGCUGGAUAAUUAAUCCCGUCCCCAGGAGCUGCGUGCACCAAAGAGCUGGUGCCAUCAGAGGAAAUAAAAGUCAAGAGGCACAAAUGCAGCACGAUUAGAUGGAGGUGGGUCCUUCCUGGCGGCGCUCGGAGGGAGCGAGGGGAAGGAAAGGAGAUGAGUGAGCACGCUGCCUGCUGCAAAUAUUGACAGAACCAUUAUGGGCAUGUAUAAAACUCCCAUUUGCGUGAUGCAAGCGGGAUAGUCUUUGAAUACUUCUGUCUCGAGGAAUUCUUUAUUUUGCCAUAGAAGAAAAAUGUUUUCAUAUUCUCUCCUGCCGUGCAGACCUGCAGCCCGGCGAGCCCUUUUGCCCUUGAGAGCCAUAACAUUAUUUGUUAACAUCUUUAUGAUGCCAAAUGGUCUGUGCUAGAACGGGUGCCAUUCUUUAGCUGGGAAACCAUAUGGCAUGCCGAGUAAUAAAUAAGGUAUUGUGAUAGUUAAUGAACCUAAUUGCCAGCAAAGGCUUUAAUACAGGGAAUGUGCUGCUGAGAAUUUAGCACCACAUUAGAGAUGCAGCAGAGCUCCUCUGACUUCUGAGGCUUAAUUUAAGUUCUAUAUUGCAAACUCCAGAAAAUAAUUCCAAACCCUCCUGCUGGAAAAGCAACCUGCUGGUAGACUGUGAUUAUACUGAAUUACUAAAAUCGCAAUCAAUUUUAUACACUCUGUUAACCCUUGCUGGGGAACUCGGCUCUCCAGGAGUGCAGGGGAUGCCACUCCAAAGAGGUACCCGAGCCAAGUGAGUUGGAGCAUCAUGGUUAUCACCCUCACCAUGACUGGUCCUCUCCCCUGGCAUCUCCCUCUUCUGGGAAACAACCUUUCCCUGGCCCAUCUGCCUGCCAGCUAAGCUGACUGUGGGCAAAGCUGGGAACAAAAGUCACAACUGUGAAUGGUCACCACUGUUCCUCCGUGACCAACCAAAGAACUGCUGCUCCUGUGUCAUGGUGACACAGCAUGGCAGAAAGUGCUGCUGCUGCUGCCACUGCCUCGUGGCUCCCAGGAAAUGCUCCUGUGGGCAGAGCAGACCUGAAAACACAGUUAAACUUGUGUUCAACUCAGCCCUCAGAGCGGGGAGAGCUCUUCUGGCCUAACAGAAUCCUUGGCACUGCUGCAGACUGUGAGUGUGACCACAAGGGCCCCUUCAGUCCAGAGCACCCUGGGAUCACCUGCAGAGAUGCCAAGAUGCCUCCCGUGCAUCCAGGGGUGGAGAGGCCACUGGUCCCUCCUGGGGUCUUUUAGAGCAGCAAGCAGGGAAGGCCAACACCAAGAAUUCCCUGUCAGGCUGCUCUGCAGCACGCAGAAGUCCUCAGAAACACAAGGAGGGUAUACUGGUGCUGGAGGGCUAUUUUCAAAGCCUGCAGCAAUCCCAGCUGCAAACACAGACCUGCUGCCCCAUGGAGGAAGGAUGUGCCUUGCCACGGGUCAGAGCUGUGCUGCAGCACCUUCUCUGAGGGCUGCUCCAAGCGCUCAUCAGCACUGGAAACCUUUCAGACUCUGCACACCAUGCCCUGAAGCAGCCUAUUUCUGCAGGAAAAGCUGCCCCUUUCUAGGGACCCAUCCUUCCCCAGAGCCCAGCGGCUGCACGGGGAGAGAGCGCUUGGAGAGAGCAGCGCUGCUCCCCGAGGUUAUUGGGAGCUUAUUGGCUCCUUCCCUCUCUGAUUGCGCUCGGCUGCCCUGCAGUCACGUCCUCCCGCUGCCGGCGGCCAGCCCGGCCCUGCCAGCAGCCACAUCCCGCUGGAAGCGCCGGCCGGGGAGGACAGGAAGGCUCCCUGGUGGGGCUGCCCCUCUCCAUCCCUUCCCACUGGCUGCAGCUGGUCCUCGGCCGCCUGCAGACCUCUCCUGGCUCCGUGGUGCCAGGGGGCACAGGGAGUCAGGGCAGGGGGUGGCAGGGCACGGUGGCAGCACAGAAUGGGCAGAGAGGCGAGAUAAAGAGCGGCGCAGGGCGGAUUUAAUACUGUACAUAAAUACACUUUACAAUCUGGAGAAGGCUCAGUGCUAAGAGGAAGCCAUUGGAAUAUUUUAUCGUGAUGCAGAUCGAGUGAAAAGACUGUGAAUAAAUAAAAGGGAAGAUAAUUAUUUGAUGGAGUUCUCUUAGGAUAUGCCACAGCGGGGAAUACUUACAGAGAAUACAUAUUACUAGAGAGACUCAGCUAUUCAAGCAUCAAACCAACCUAUAAAU